GACGAACCGAGCGAACGUUAUUCGGAAUCACUGGGCUUAAAGGGCGCGUAGGCGGGCGGCCAAGUCAGGGGUGAAAGCCCCCGGCUCAACUGGGGAGGGUCAUUCGAUACUGUCCGACUUGAAGGCAGGAGAGAGAAGCAGAAUUCCCGGUGUAGUGGUGAAAUGCGUAGAUAUCUGGAGGAACACCGGUGGCGAAGGCGGCAUCCUGGACCGACACUGACGCUGAGGAGCGAAAGCCAGGGGAGCAAACGGG
rnacentral:rRNA from 1 species